rnacentral:rRNA from 1 species
CGGCCCAUCAGCUAGUUGGUGAGGUAAGAGCUCACCAAGGCGAAGACGGGUAGCUGGUCUGAGAGGAUGAUCAGCCACACUGGAACUGAGACACGGUCCAGACUCCUACGGGAGGCAGCAGUGGGGAAUAUUGCGCAAUGGGCGAAAGCCUGACGCAGCCACGCCGCGUGAGCGAUGAAGGCCUUCGGGUCGUAAAGCUCUGUGGGGAGAGAAGAAUAAAGCCUGUGAAGAAUGGGCCUUGACGGUAUCUCCUUAGCAAGCACCGGCUAACUCCGUGCCAGCAGCCGCGGUAAUACGGAGGGUGCAAACGUUGCUCGGAAUCAUUGGGCGUAAAGCGCACGUAGGCGGCGAAGCAAGUCGGGUGUGAAAGCCCUGGGCUCAACCCAGGAAGUGCAUUCGAAACUAUUUCGCUUGAAUCUCGGAGGGGGUCAGAGAAUUCCCGGUGUAGAGGUGAAAUUCGUAGAUAUCGGGAGGAAUACCAGUGGCGAAGGC